rnacentral:rRNA from 1 species
GAUGAACGCUGGCGGCGUGCUUAACACAUGCAAGUCGAACGAAGCACCUUGAUUCGCUUCUUCGGAUGAAGAUCUUGGUGACUGAGUGGCGGACGGGUGAGUAACGCGUGGGUAACCUGCCUCAUACAGGGGGAUAACAGUAGAAAUGACUGCUAAUACCGCAUAAGACCACAGCACCGCAUGGUGCAGGGGUAAAAACUCCGGUGGUAUGAGAUGGACCCGCGUCUGAUUAGGUAGUUGGUGGGGUAACGGCCUACCAAGCCGACGAUCAGUAGCCGACCUGAGAGGGUGACCGGCCACAUUGGGACUGAGACACGGCCCAAACUCCUACGGGAGGCAGCAGUGGGGAAUAUUGCACAAUGGGGGAAACCCUGAUGCAGCGACGCCGCGUGAGCGAUGAAGUAUUUCGGUAUGUAAAGCUCUAUCAGCAGGGAAGAAAAUGACGGUACCUGACGAAGAAGCACCGGCUAAAUACGUG